rnacentral:rRNA from 1 species
GGAAUCUUGCGCAAUGGGCGAAAGCCUGACGCAGCAACGCCGCGUGCGGGAAGAAGGCUUUCGGGCUGUAAACCGCUUUCAGUAGGAACGAAACUGACGGUACCUACAGAAGAAGGAGCGGCCAACUAUGUGCCAGCAGCCGCGGUGACACAUAGGCUCCAAGCGUUGUCCGGAUUUAUUGGGCGUAAAGAGCUCGUAGGCGGUUGAGUAAGUCGGGUGUGAAAACUUUGGGCUUAACCCAAAGAUGCCACUCGAUACUGCUUUGACUUGAGUUCGGUAGGGGAGUGGGGAAUUCCUUGUGUAGCGGUGAAAUGCGCAGAUAUGAGGAGGAACACCGGUGGCGAAGGCGCCACUCUGGGCCGAUACUGACGCUGAGGAGCGAAAGCGUGGGGAGCAAACAGGAUUAGAUACCCUGGUAGUCCACGCGGUAAACGGUGGUCACUAGGUGUGGGUCUCUUCAAACGAGAUCUGCGCCGUCGCUAACGCAUUAAGUGACCCGCCUGGGGAGUACGGUCGCAAGACUAAAACUCAAAUGAAUUGACGG